GCCAGAUGCAAAAGCCUUUUGAAGAAGCAACAUUUGCUCUCAAGGUUGGAGAGGUAAGCGACAUUGUGGAUACUGACAGUGGAGUUCACAUCAUCAAGCGCACUGCUUAACUUCUCUCAUAAAGCUUGUGGCUCUACUUAUGAAGCACUUAAUCCAUUUAGGCUUGGCUCAAAUUGAAGUUGUUUAAGUAGGAUUUGUUUCUGCUCCAAGGCCACACGAAUUUUCUU
rnacentral:misc_RNA from 1 species